GAUGAGAACGUAGCGAAAUGCGAUACUUGGUGUGAAUUGCAGAAUCCCGUGAACCAUCGAGUCUUUGAACGCAAGUUGCGCCCGAAGCCACUAGGCCGAGGGCACGCCUGCCUGGGCGUCACACGCCGUUGCCCCCCCAUCUACUCCUUCGGGAUUGCGGGGGGGCGGAUGAUGGCCUCCCGUGCGCCUAGCCGCGCGGUUGGCAUAAAUACCAAGUCCUCGGCGACGCACGCCACGACAAUCGGUGGUUGCGAAACCUCGGUUGCCCGUCGUGUGCGUUCGUCGCGCAUCGAGGGCUCGAAAAAAUGCUCGGCUCCGGCUGGGCUUUCAACGCGACCCCAGGUCAGGCGGGGUUACCCGCUGAAUUUAAGCAUAUCAAUAAGCGGAGGA
rnacentral:misc_RNA from 1 species